UACGUAGGGUGCGAGCGUUAAUCGGAAUUACUGGGCGUAAAGCGUGCGCAGGCGGUUCGUUGUGUCGGUGGUGAAAGCCCCGGGCUUAACCUGGGAAUGGCCAUGGAAACUGGCGAACUGGAGUGUGGCAGAGGGGGGUGGAAUUCCGCGUGUAGCAGUGAAAUGCGUAGAGAUGCGGAGGAACACCGAUGGCGAAGGCAGCCCCCUGGGCUAGCACUGACGCUCAGGCACGAAAGCGUAGGGAGCAAACAGG
rnacentral:rRNA from 1 species